UAAGCGUAGGCAGCAAGCGUUGUUCGGAGUUACUGGGCGUAAAGGGUGUGUAGGCGGUUGGAUAAGGAGUGGUGUGAAAUCUCCCGGCUUAACUGGGAGGUGCGCUACAGACUGGUCUGACUAGAGUGUGGGAUGGGUAAGUGGAAUUCCUGGUGUAGCGGUGAAAUGCGUAGAUAUUGGGGAGGAACACCAGUGGCGAAGGCGGCUCACUGGACCGGUUCUGACGCUGAGGCGCGAAAGCGUGGGGAGCAAACGGG
rnacentral:rRNA from 1 species